rnacentral:rRNA from 1 species
UGGGGAAUAUUGCACAAUGGGCGCAAGCCUGAUGCAGCCAUGCCGCGUGUAUGAAGAAGGCCUUCGGGUUGUAAAGUACUUUCAGUCGGGAGGAAGGUGGUAAGGUUAAUAACCUUAUCAAUUGACGUUACCGACAGAAGAAGCACCGGCUAACUCCGUGCCAGCAGCCGCGGUAAUACGGAGGGUGCAAGCGUUAAUCGGAAUUACUGGGCGUAAAGCGCACGCAGGCGGUUGAUUGAGUCAGAUGUGAAAUCCCCGGGCUCAACCUGGGAACUGCAUCUGAUACUGGCAAGCUUGAGUCUCGUAGAGGGGGGUAGAAUUCCAGGUGUAGCGGUGAAUUGCGUAGAGAUCUGGAGGAAUACCGGUGGCGAAGGCGGCCCCCUGGACGAAGACUGACGCUCAGGUGCGAAAGCGUGGGGAGCAAACAGG